CUGGCGGCGUGCCUAACACAUGCAAGUCGAACGGGGGCAAUUUCUUCGGAGAUUGCUUAGUGGCGAACGGGUGAGUAACGCGUGAGAAACCUGCCUUUCAGUGGGGGACAACAGUUGGAAACGACUGCUAAUACCGCAUAAUGUCAUUUAGGGGCAUCCCUGGAUGACCAAAGCUUUAUGUGCUGAAAGAUGGUCUCGCGUCUGAUUAGCUAGUUGGUGAGGUAACGGCUCACCAAGGCGACGAUCAGUAGCCGGUCUGAGAGGAUGAACGGCCACAUUGGGACUGAGAUACGGCCCAGACUCCUACGGGAGGCAGCAGUGGGGAAUAUUGCACAAUGGGGGAAACCCUGAUGCAGCGACGCCGCGUGAGCGAAGAAGUAUUUCGGUAUGUAAAGCUCUAUCAGCAGGGAAGAAAAUGACGGUACCUGACUAAGAAGCCCCGGCUAACUACGUG
rnacentral:rRNA from 1 species